GAGCUUCCUAGGUUAUUUCCUGAAUGAAACAGUAAAUAUCUUGUGACCUGAUAGCACCUUUUCAUUUUACAGAGCUGUUGAAGCAGAAGAAUUGCUGAUUGUCCUUAAGGCACAACAGUUGCAUAAGCAGUACUCAUCAGAAUUGGUUUGGUGCAGACAAGAUUUUUGCCUUCCAGGUUUCCCGUGGCUCUAAGGAAGGCAUCAACCCCAGUUGGUUAGCACUCUUAACUAGGGAGUGGCAGUUUCUUAAAAUAAGUAAUUGAC
rnacentral:lncRNA from 1 species